UUAACUUACACCUCCAACGCCAGGGAAUUACGAGCAAUGCUUAAAACCCAAAGGAUUUGACGGUGUCCCACCCCACUAGAGGAGCCUGUUCUAUAAUCGAUAAUCCCCGCUUCACCCGACCGUUCCUCGCCUAUCAGUCUGUAUACCUCCGUCGAAAGCUUACCAUGUGAACGCCAGCAGUAAGCUUAAUGAUAUUACCAUCAACACGUCAGGUCAAGGUGCAGCUUAAGGAACGGGAAGCAAUGGGCUACAAUUUCUAAUCUAGAACAAACGAAAGAUUAUGUGAAAUCCUAAUCAUGAAGGUGGAUUUAGUAGUAAAAAGGAAAUAGAGUGUUCUUUUUAACUCGGCUCUGGGACGCGUACACACCGCCCGUCACCCUCUUCAAUAGUAUUUUCCUGUCCCUAACCCCCUUACACAUUUUAGAAGAGGCAAGUCGUAACAUGGUAAGUGUACUGGAAAGUGCACUUGGAAUAUUA
rnacentral:rRNA from 1 species